AAGCAUUUAUGUAACUGGGGAGGGAGGGGGAGGUGAGUGCGCGCUGACUUUGGGGAAGUUCAGUCUACAAAAACAAACCUCACUAACUAGGCUUGGUUCUGAUUAAGGAAGAUAAAUCUGUCAGUGAGGAGCUAAAUUUACCGCGAGCGUAACCCCCUGCCCCUCGCCCCACCAGUGAUGGGCAGGCUGAGUUUAUUUCUGUUGGGCGAGCUCCAGAAAGCGCCGGGAGGUGAAAAACAAUCCCCAGAAAUGUGAAAAAUGUGGAAUGAAGUGGGGGCGGCAGGAGGAAAAGUGGGGGGAGCGCGGAGAGAGCGACCAAUAGCAGCACGGUGGGUGCGAUCCCAACUCCGCUGCUGCAAUAAAAAAUGCCGAGAUGCUCAAAGCUGAUGGGGAGCGGCUGGGAAGGGGCUCAGCCUGGAGCAAAGGAGGCUCAGGGGGGACCCUGAGGCUCUGCACAGCUCCUGCUCAGGGAACAGCGACAGGAGGAGAGGAAAUGACCUCAAAUGGCAUCAGGGAAGGUUCAGGUUCCUUCCAAUGCAAAACAUCCUGCGAUCCAUUAUCCUGAGGAGGGUGACAGCUUUGGCAUGCCAUCGCUGGCGGCUCAUGGGCUGUAGCCAUCCCUCUCUGGCCUACAGGAUGCAAAUGUGCUUCAGAUUUGGUUCAACCCAUCAACCCAAAUCCCUCAUUAUACUGAUGAAUCAAAUAGUCACUGUCACCCACUGCCCAUGAACCAGGAGACCCCCUAAGUUCUGGGUUUAGCCCUCUAAAACCAUGCUUUCAUGGAAGAAGUGCCAGGAGAGGAGAAAAAACUCGCUUGCAUGGUUGUUGACAAACAGAGACUUCUCACUUCCCAGUUUUUGCUCUUGAAACUGGUUGAACUGCCUGAGCCCUCCUGAGUUUUGGGGGUAUCCAAGCUGAGGAAGCCAUCCUGAAGCUACAAGGAAGGUUUGGCUCCAGGAGAGCCCAUCACACCUUGCUGAACUGCUGCAGGACAUGGUUUAUGACAGCCACCGUGGCACUGUGGCAUGUAAACCCCACCAUUCUGGAGAUUCAGCAGGAAGAGCCCCAAGGAGAUGUCAAACAAACAAACAAACAAAGAACUGGGUCCUGCUGCUCCGCUGGUGUGAAUGGAUUGGCUGGAGCCAGGUGGAUUCCUGCCAGGUGAGGCUCAGGCUCUGCUGCAUCCCUGUGCUGCCCUGCUCAGCAGCCUUGGCUCUCUCUGCCAGUCUGUGCAGCAAGGACAUGUUUUUAUAUCAGGCUUUGCAGCUGCCAAAACAAACCCAGUCUCAGAUGCAGCCCCAAAACAUUAACAACAUUGGCAUGAACUCCGGCGGCUGCAUUUCCUCCCAGAGCCCGAGCUGGACCUUGAUAAGCCUGAUUGCUUUGUCACUCAACUCUGCCUCCUCCUUAAUGAGCCUUCCCUGAAACGCCGGGGCUGCCUUCCCGGCGGAGGGAGAGCAGGGCAGCUGUGCUAGUGGCUGUCCUUGGAGAACUUUGUGCAGGGAAAGCUGCUCCCACCCAUGGCAGGAGGAGAGACAGGCAGGUCCAGACCUUGCCUGCAAAGGGAGGGCUCCUGGAGCUCCUUUGUCGUAGAAACAAAGAACUACUGAAUGCUUUGGGUUGGGAGGGACUUCAAAGUCCAUCUCAUUCUCAUUCUGCCCUUGCCAUAGGAAGGGACACCUCCCACUACCCCAAGCCUCAGUAUCCAGUCUGGCUUUGGACACUUCCAGAGAUCCAGGGACAGCCACCGCUGCUCUGGGCAGUGCCAGUAACUUACCACCCUUACAAGGGACAAUUUCUUCCCAAAAUCCAAUUUAAGUUGCUCCCUUUCAAUCUGAAGCCAUUAUGCAGUGUUUAAAGUCAUGAUACAUGUACUCCCUUAUUUUCCUUCUUCCCUGGCAAAACCAAUUGGAUUAACAUGUAAAAAUUAUUUAAAAUCCAGCCUUUGCACUGGUGUCUUCUCAGGCAAGGUCAAGAGGUGUGAAGGUGCUGCUGCUACUAUUCCCUGAGUGGAUGGCUCUUCAUUUCCCAGAUUGGCAGGACAGGGUGUGUGGUAAAACAGGGUCUCCUCACUAAUCACACCAGUGCCUGCACUCCUGUGGGCUGCAAGGGCUCCUCGGGGUCAGUCCGUGGUGUCUGGGUCUCCAAGAGCAGCUCUGAUGCUGAGGGCUGGACAAGGCAGCUGUCAUCCAAGCUGGCUAUGAGGGAACCCUACAGGAGCAGCCUCUCUUCGGGGACAGCCAAUGCCCUGAGAUGUCUCAAAUGGCAGGGAAUGAGGGGGGGCUGUGCUGCCAUCCCUUGUGCCAGGGUAGUGAGGAAGCUCUGAUGAUUGACCCUGUCACCUUCUGCAGCCUGUGGGGUGGUUUGUGUGGUCGCCUCUCUGGAGCUGGCACGGUGCUCCACCCCGAGCAUCCCUCCUGUCCCCUUCUGCCGGGUGCAGCCUGACAAACGAGCUGCUGCCACCCCGAGCAGAUGUGGGGGAGAAGGGAGCCCCAGCCAGCCCGCAGCAGCCUCGGCCGCUGGCAGGGCUGUGCGGCCCCUGCCCCGGCUGCUCUCCUGCAGAGCUUGGCUCCAGCAGCACCUCCCUGAUCCUUCACCAGCUCCCUGCCCCACGCCUACGCCGGGGCUUGGCCUGGGCUGCUCUGCCAUCCCGGGAUCUUCUCCCCCGGCAAAAGGCUGCAAAGGACAGUGUGGUGUCCCCUGGGCUCAGGGAUUGUCCCAGGUAUCUGCUGAGAGAGAUGGGCAGGUGAUUUUCCACCUCCACCCUCGUGGCAUGUGGAUAAAAUUAGGGAUGAGGGGAGACUGGAAGGGAAACAGUGCAUUUUGGCAGGGAUAAAUGAGUAUACUGAAAGGGAAAGGGAGGGAGGAGAAGCUCGGCCCUUCUCACUGCUCCCUUGCAGAUGGAAUAAGAUGUCCAGUGUCCCCCAGUACCAAAUGGUCUCAAUUUGCUCCUGCGUCAGAGGGAGCUGGUUCUGCCUUGGUUGGGGCCUUGGUGGGGCCGUGAGGAUGUGUUUCAUAACUGCAGCUCUUGUGAGGAACAACAACAACAACCACAGCUUCAAAAACCUGUUGAAAUUGUGCUAUGCCCUGAACAGAAAACACAUGGGAAGAGAGAAAACUCCCUGCACAGAAAAGCCAAUGUAAUUAGCCCUGACAGGAUCUGCAGACUAGCAGCAGCAGCCGAGAGGCGGGAGGGGAGGGAAAAACAACCCAACAUCAUUUUAUAGGCAAAUGUAAAUGGGUCAUUAGCUGUCUUAGAACAAAAUGUUCCUUCCUGGGGAAGGCAGGGGACAGGCCUGGCUGGAGGAAAUGUUGCAGAAGGCCUGGCGAGGCUUCCUGUGAAAGCAGCUUUGCUGGGAUGCUGGAUGAAAAGGCUCUUGCUCUCACUGGAAGCAGAGCUCCUGAGAUUUUUGCCUUCCAGCAGGGUUAGGGUGGCAGGACACAGGUUCCUGUGGUACCUAAAGUCAGCUCUGAGCCUCUCAAGGUCACCUUCUCCAUCAGCAGAAGCAUCACCCUGCUCCAGGGUCUCCGGAACAGUUCCAAGCUGAAGGUUUUCCAGCUUAGGGAAAGUCCUGUGCCAGGUGCUGCACAGUCAUUGGGGAAGGCACAGAGUCCUCUCCAGGUGUGAGAGCUCAGCUGCAAGAAUGAGGGCAGUGGGAAGAAGAGGAGCAUUGCCUGCAGACCUUGUCCAGGAUCAAAUUCCACCCAAAUGAGAGAAUCACAGAAUCGUUUGGGUUGGAAGGGAGCUCAAAGCUCAUCCUGUGCCACUCCCUGCCAUGGGCAGGGACACAUUCCACUGUCCCAGGCUCCUCCAAGCCCCAUCCAAGCUGGCCUUGGACACUUGCAGGGAUCCAGGGGCAGCCACAGCUUCUCUGGGAAGCUUCCUCUGCAGAGAAGAAUUUCUGCCUGAGAGAACUGAACUCCUUGCAGUCCCAAGGGUUACUCCUGAAGCUCCCUGCAGAUGUUGCAUUUGCCACUUUAAAUUAUUUUGAUCCAAACCAAACAGCAAAAAUUGAAAAAAUUUUCCUGUUUGGGCUCCAUCAGAGGUCUCAGAUGAUUUACAGUUUGAUCCUGGCAGAUGAUUUCUAUUAUUUCCACCUUGGCUUCAGCCAGUUCAGGUCUUGGGUGACCCCUUUGAAUGACCACAGACUGCAAUGAGCCUUUGUGCGUGGGAUGUGCUUAGCAGCAAAGGAUGGGAUGCGCUUGAGGGGCUGGAGCACAGCUGGCAGGGAGAGGGGUUUUGUGAGACAACAACAAACCCUUCUUUUUGAUUGGAGUGUUUGUUCCUGGUCUCCCUGUGGAAGGUCUGAAAGCUCCAGUUGACUUCUUCUCCCAGAAGGGUGCAACAGCUGGAUCCAGGUCACUACCUCCUGUGGACCCUCUCUUAAUAAAUUCUUAAUUGACUCUUAAUACUCUGUAUGUUACUCAGCAGUGUUGUCACCAGGCUGUUUGCAAACCCCUGGCUCUGAGAACCUGUGGAGAGGGGUGGGGCAGAGCUCCCCUUUGUCAUGGCCAAGGGGAAGCAUCUGAAAUUUAGAGUAGGGAUAAAAUGAUCCCUCAGCAUUCCUGCACAAUGACAAACAGCAGAGUGGCAGAUGCCAAGCCUGGGUCUCUCUGUUUGACAGGCCAGACUGGGCCAGCACAAGACCCAAAUCCACAGCAGCCGGGAUGAAAAGUUUCCUGGACAGCUUUGUUAGCAUCCCGGCACUCAGUGAAGAACCUGGAUGCUUCCUCAUAUCUGAAACUUUCUGGGAAAUCUCCUGUGCUCCUCUAUCCUUUGCCCCAUUCCUGAAAGUGUCCAAGGCCAGGUUGGAUGGGGUUUGGAGCAACCUGGAGUACUGGGAGGAGUUCCACCCCAUGGCAGGGGGCUGGAAUGUUAAGGUCCCUUCCCCAGCCUUUCUGGGAACAUCAGGUUGGAGAAGAGGUGACUCAGAGCAAUCUGCAUUCAGGGAAAUCUUGCAGUGGGGGUAUUGCUGUGCUGGAUGGAGAGAUCCUGCUGCUGAGCUUGGAGUCCUUAAUGCAGGGCUGGGAAUUUAUCAGGGGUCUCUGGGAAUCAGGGACUGGGAUCCAAUGGCAGCUGGGAGGAUCUGAUGUAUAACUCAGGUAAGGUUUGCUGUGAAUGCCGGGAAACGUCCCUUUGUGUGUCCUCUGUGGAAAGGAGAUCAAUGUGGGCACAGAGGUGCAGCCUGCUGGGGAGUACAAGUGUACAAGUCUCAGGCAGCCUUUGAAACCUUCCUUCACCUGCUUUUCUGAGUUCUUGAUGCCUGAAGAUCUCAUUUUGAACAGAGUGGUUUAGUUCUCCCUCAGCUCUUUCCUCACCUCUGUUUUUUGCCUGGGGCGAGGCUCUCUUGGACAGUGGACUGGGCUGCUCAUUCUUCCUGUAGGUGUCCCUUGGUGAAGGCUUCAUUUGAAGGCAGUGCUUCAGAGGCAUCUCUGAGCUUUUAAACCCAGAGAAAACUUUCAUGGCAUUACUUCCCAUGGGCCAGCUCUGUGUCUGGGGAAUCAGAGGGAAUGGCUGCACACGCUUGCAGCUGUGGGUGUUAAGAGAAGCUUCAUUUUUCAAAAGCCUAGAAAAAGGGAUCCUCAGAGCCACCCCCACGGAGGGUGCACGAUGCACCCUCCAAUUCUUCCCCUCAUUUUCAGGAGGGACAAGAGCUGUGAGCUGGUUGCAAACGGCAGCACUCAGUUUCUUCUCCCCUUCUUGACACAUCCAGGGACUGAGCUGCUACUUCCAGACACCAUGGUGUGACAAACCCACUGUAGCCUCUUUGUACUGACUGCACCUCACUGUGAGUAAAAUUCAGUUUAAAAACACAGUGGUGACGUUGUGCUCCAAGCAGGAUCCUGCCCCUCCUGAUCUGAAGAUUAGCCUGCUGAUAUUUUGCUCUUGGAGGGGAGGUUUCCAGGAUGCCAUCCCUCUGAGCCUGCCCACAUGAAUCUGUGGUGUUUUGCUCUUUGGACUACAAACUUCUAGGAAUUUGUAGGUGGAAAUCUGACUUUUGCUGGUGUUCUCAGAGCCUGGUGCUGGUGCUGCUCCAGCUGGGUUCCUCUAGCAUGGGAACCUUGAGUUUGUUAACAGCUCUAGAGUCAACUGGGGAGCAGCUAUUGUUCUCAGAGCUUCUCACAUAUGUAUCACUUCAAGGUUUCCUCCUUCCAUUCAAAGUAUUUGGGGAUAGAGGAAUGAGGGAAGCAAGCUGCCAGUGUCUAAUGCAUGUUUCUUGGAGCAAAAUGUAUUGGUUUAUUUUGUUUUAAACAGCUUAUUGCAAAUGGGGAGCAGCUGUGGAUUUUGCGAUGACUUUUUUUGUUUUAGUUUUUGGAAACGUGGGGUCAUCUCCCUAGUAUUCCAUAGCAUGCUUGCUAUAGACAAAAAAAAAAUCUAAUUUUGAAGAAUUUCAAAGCAGUUCUUUAGACUUAAUCAAAUUCUUAAUUCCCUGAUCUAUUAAAGCCUAUUCAGUAAUCAGCCUGAUGAGAAGGAAUGUGGAGUUUCCUCAGGGCUCCCUCUUGGCUUGCCCUUCUGAGGCUGAAAUUAAGGCAGCCCACAGUCCCAUGCAGCAGAUCCCUGAUGGGGUUUGGGUAUCCGAGUCCCAGUCCCAAACACAGCAUUCUCAGGCACAGGGUGGGAUUCUGGGCACUGCCCUCUAAAGGGCCAGGGGUUGGACUCCAUGAACCUGGUGGGUUCCUUCCACCCAGGAUCUUGUGAUUCUGUUAGAUGGGCUGAGAGGCUCCAUCCCCAGAGGCAUUCCAUUGUCCCAGUGUCUUGUUUGAGCCUUGAGCCACACCUGAGUGCCUGAUCUGAUCAUCUCUUUGCAUCUUCUCCAAGGAACCUGGCCAGGGAGGAUUUGGGGAGAUACUUAAUAGUGCUGUGUUUUGGGUUUAAGCGCUUUUCUCCCUAAGAGCAGAUGGAAGAAUUGUUCCUGUUUGGAUCUCCUGAGUGUGUUGUACAGCCUUGGUAUAAGGUCGAGGAGGGAGCAGAAUUUCAGGGGAAACAUGAGGUCAGUGAGGCUUUGGCUCCAGCCUGACAAUUAAUUUCACAGAAUCCCAGGGUGGUUUGUGUUGGAAGGGACCUUAAAGCUCAUCCAUUCCACCCCCUGCCAUGGGCAGGGACACCUUCCAGUGUCCCAGGGCGCUUCAAACUGGCCUUGGGCAGUGCCAGGGAUCCAGGGGCAGCCACAGCUUCUCUGGGCACCCUGUGCCAGGGCCUGCCCACCCUGCCAGGGAGCAACUCCUUCCCAAUAUCUAUCUUUAUUGCUGCCGGAGUGGCUGAGUUCCCUGUGUCUGUGUGUACAGGUGGCCCCGAGGCACAUGGAUUUCAGCACAGCUCCAUGGAUACAGACAUCCCGUAACAAAGGAGCAGGCCCCGAGUGUUUUGGGGAAGGGAGAUAAUAAUAAGCCAGUUUGGCACAGCUCUUUCCUAAGCCUGGCCAGUCAACCCUAACAAUGUAAACAGCUCUUUCGGGGUGAAAUGUUGCUUUUCAGUUUCACAAAUCUGCUGGCUGAGCUCUCUGCCAAGGAGUGGUGUGAAUGAGGUGCCCUAUAUUUUCUUUCUCGCCUGUCCUGCCCUUUUCCUGCAAAAAGGAGAUAGCUUCUGGCUCUGCAGGGCUGGUCUGCAGCCUGGGCAGCAUCAGUGGUGCUGUGCUCCGCUGUCAGAGCUGCCCUGAGCACGGAGGUGUGGGAGCCACGUCCAGAAGGCUCCUGCAAGGAUCCUCCUGCAAGGAUCUUCCUGCAAGGAUCCUCCUGCAAGGAUCCUCCGGGACUUGCGCCAGUUCUCCUGGGGAGCGGGGGGUAGGGUAGUUUCCUUCCUGGGGUUAGUGUCAGCCCUCAUGAAUCCUCUGCCACCUUCAGCUCUGCCUGCACUCCCCAGCUCCCGGCCCUGAAGUUUGGAAAUGCCGACUUCUAACUCCUGACCUCCCACACUACUCCAAUUCCAAGAAACAAUGCCCUAAAUGUGCUGGCAGUGACAGCUCGCUGAUUCCUACAGCAUGGCUUGUUAAAAGAUCUAAACCUACUAAUAGGAAUUGGCUUGAUAAAAGGGAUUUUUUUUUAACCUCCUCACUUAGCGUGAGGAGGUUAGUGUACACUUAGUGUAGCACAUGCAGCCCAGAGAAUCUAGAAAUUAAAUUGGCUUUUUGUCAAGCCUCCUGUAUGCAACAGCAAUGGGACCCCUGCAGUGCAGUGCAGUGUUUCCAAUUACAUUUUGGGGUAUGUUGCUAAUUUUUGGCACACAGAGAGAAGCAGGCCAGGCAAAUGGCAGGUGGCAGGCUGUUUUCAUAUUUCACUAGGAGCAUGGGGGAAGGGAGAGGGGAGAAGGAGCCGAGCUCUCUGCCAGGAAAUGUGACCUCGCAGAGUGUGAGCAGAAGAGUUUUGGCAUGUGGUGGAGGAUGGAGGGCUGGGCAGGCAUGGCUGAGCCAGUUUACAUCCCCUCCUGCUGGGAAUACGCACGCAGGGAAGCAGGGCUAGAAUAAACACGCUCCAGCAGCGACAGCCCCCAGGUCUGGAUCUGGGCACCUCUGGGCCGUGUGUGGCUGCAGCCCGGCUGCUCUGUGGGACAGCGCUGUCACCGUGCUCCGCCUCUGCCGCCCCGCGCCCGCUCCUCUGCCCCCAGCACAACAACAAAACUGGCUUUGCUUCACUCAUUUGUUCCCAGCACAGCUAAUGCAUUCAGCAUGGCACCGCUCUGCAGGGCCUGGGUGGCUUCUCAGAGCUGUUGCACAAUCUGGGUGUGCACUGAGGGCAGCAGCGGCCAGAAGCUGCUUCCCAGGACCUGCAUCUGUCCCAGGGUGGCUUUGCCCAUCAGGACAGAGGCCUAGAGGUGAGAAUUCUAGGGGUCAGACCACCGAAUUGUUUGGUUGGAAGGGACCUUAAAGCUCAUCUUGUCCCAAACCCCUGCCAUGGGCAGGGACACCUUCAACUAUUCCCAGGCUGCUCCAAGCCCCAGUGUCCAGCCUGGCCUUGGACACUGCCAGGGAUCCCUGGGCAGCCACAGCUGCUCUGGGCACCCUGUGCCAGGGCCUGCCCACCCUCCCAGGGAACAAUCCCUUCCCAAUAUCUCAUCUAAUACUUGCCCUCCUUCAGCUCAAAUCCAUUUGCCCCUGUGCCCAGAAAUGCUGCUGUGUGUGACAAGAGCAGUCAGAACUAGUCUGUGCUCACAGGGACCGGGGCAAAACAUCCACCUCAACCCAAGGGAAUGUUAGCCAGGAGAACUUUUUGGGAAAAAGCCUCAGGAGUCAGAAUGGAGGCCUCUAAAUGCUUAAUUUACACAUCAAAUCCAAAAAUAAAAUGGUGGACACCAUGAAAGAGGGUUGUGAGAGAUCUUAUUCCGGGUCUAUCUGGAGGUGUAUUUGUGCUGAAGCUUGCAGAUAUGGUUCUUGUAACAAUUACUGAAUGUUGUUCUGAUUGCUAAAUGUUGUCCUGAUACUGAAUUUUGUUCCACAGCAAUGAUUUCACUGGUAAAACCCAAAAUCCCCUCAUUUUGAAAAGACCGUAAGGUGAGACUGGAGACAGCAAACAAAAUUUCCAGUAGAGUAAAACACUGGUGAGCUGGGCAUGAUGUCAGGAAGCCCUUUUGUAGUGCUUUUUGUAGGGGGCUGGGCAUGCUGAAGGUUUAUUUCAAGUUGGCUUUGCUGCUGUGUGCUGAGAUCUAUUGGCAGAGGUAAAUGUGGAAACAUUACAGUGGGAAAAGACCUCCCUCUAAGAUCCUCGAGUCCAGCUAAGAACCAUCAUGGUGACAAAGUUAGUUCUGGCUGACAGAAGACUUUAAAUCUCCUUCAUUUACUCUUCCCAGUGGUGGAGGCACCCCCCCAAAAAAACCCAAAAACCCAAACAUCUCUGCUCCCCCAUCCCUCUGUCUGUUCAGACACUGCCAUUGCAUCCCAUCCUCCUCCUCCUCCCCCUGCUGCUGUUUUGCCGCAGGGAUGAGCCCAGAUAUUUUUGGCACCAGAGCUAAUGUUCUUGAAAUGCCUUUGAGCUGAUAGCAAGCCAGCCAGUCAGGGACUUGUGAGAUCCUCAGCGACCUUGUUUCAGAAGAAAAUUGUCAGGGUUUCAACCUGUUAAUUUGCUUUCUUGCAACCUGCCUGAAGGGCUUGGGAAGCAGGGCCCUGGUCCGCUGAAAUCCUGGCAGUGUGCUUUCAGGAGGAGGUGCUGCCUGAGGACAUGGGGAUGGAUAUGAGUGCUGGGCUGUGCUGCUGCUAAUGGCAGUGGGGUGAGUGCAUCACUACCCCUGUGUUAAGCACUUGCUGCUCACAUGGCUGAAAUCAGGUGGCAGCCGUCAACCAAUUUGCCAUCAGACCUUCUACACUGUGAUGGCUAAAUCUGUGCUUGGUAGCAGCAGAGGUGCUUUUCUGACUCCACCUGAGGGAUGCUGGAGGAGAAGAUGGGUUUGACAUUUUUAAGACAUCGUCUCCUGGUGCAGUGUUGCUUUUCUCACUGAACAUUUUUCCGGAGUGUGUAGCCUGGAUUCUCCUUGCUUCAUUGUAUGGAGACACAGAAUGUUUAGUGAUUAGGUCUGAAUUAGCCCCAGGACAAGGUGCCUCUCAACUGGAAACAGAUGUGCAUGAUGGAAGGGAGAAUGGCUUUGGGUUGAAAAGUACCUCAAAGCUCAUCCUGUUCCACCCCUUGCCACAGGCAGGGACACCUUUCACUCUCCCAGGGUGCUCCAAGCUCCAUCCACCUAGCCUUGGGCACUGCCAGGGAUCCAGGGUGUCCUAGGUUAUAAUAUUGGGGUGUAUUCCAUUACCACCUGGAGCUGCAAUCCCUUUCUUUCCUUAUCUCGUGGCUCAGAGAUAAGUCCCUCCGGGAGGACCUGCUCUUUUAGCCAUAUGACUGAUAAGAUCACAGCGUUCUAUUGUGAGAUGCUCCGCCCACAGGGAGGAGCCAAACGAAUGCCAUCAAGGAUGUAAGUGGGGUUGUACAAACAGCAAGUAAAUCCCCUCUUCCAAGAGGAACAGCUGAGACCUUCUCUGCACUGGACCUCCAGAGGGAAACUCCAUCAGUCUGCAGGACCACUGCUUGGACAGAACCAUAUCUACUACCACCGCCCCAGCCAGCGAGUGUCAGGCUGUAUCUCUGACUCUGUCAGUAGUUCUUCUUUUAUGCUAUUGUAUGUAUUUGGUUCUUUGUUCCCUUUUUCCUAAUAAAUUGUAUUUCUGACUUACAGCCUCUCACUGGUUGUGCUUUUCAAACCAGGACACAGGGUCAGCCACAGCUUCCCUGGGCAGAGAUUUCCUCUCUCUGACAGUGAGCAGGAUUAGGUUCUUUAAGACUGUCCACCCCAAGAAAGCCAGAUCCUUAUUCCUGCUGAAAGUUGUUCUAAACCCUGGAGCAAAGAUGAAAAAAGAAGUUCAGUGUGCACUUAUGGAAAUGUGAAGAGCACUGUUAGCCCCAGCACAGCUUCAAGUGUGCCUUGGGCUGAGACACAUCCUUUGUUCUCCUGCCUCCCUCCGACCUGUAGAGAGAGAUCUGACACCUUGUUAUCUUCUGCAAGCUGUCCCAGCUUGGUCUGUGCUCUUGGGGCCGCUGGAAUUCACCCAGGGCCCUCGGAAUGGGGAAGAUGCUUUAAAUGGGAAGCAUUUAAAUGCGGCUUUCAGCAUCUUUAUGCCCAAGCCCUUUCUAUUCCUGGAACAAAUCCAAAUAGCCCCACUCCUCCCAAGAGCCUGUGACACGACCUUGUGGCACAGGGGAGAUUGGGUUACACAUUUUCCUAGGGCUCCUAAUAUCAAUUUAAAAUAAAGGCAGGGCACUUAGAAACUUCGGUAGAACCAGCUUAUACCCCCCAUUCCUCCUCCUUGUGAAGAUCCUCGGUGUUAGGAUAGGAUGGAAAAAUGUUUCUCACCCCUUUUCCAUGGCUAGCAAACCUUUAACAAUUUCGCACAUCAAAGUGGAAACUGAGUAACUCCCCUACACGCAGCCUCCUUUUCUCGGUUUUGUUUUGUUGUUUGUUUUCCAAACUGGGAUUGAAAGUACGAAAGCUCCAGCUCAGCUGUCUGUAAAUGGUGUUCUGAUGUUUAUGUUGGCAUUUGAACCAAAACCGUCUUCCUUGGGAACCCCAGUGAGUUGCGGAGGGGAAUACACCCCUGGAAUGAUAAAAGCUAAGCACUUGCCCACUAAUAAAUUUAGGUGUUAAUGCCUUGUUUUUGUGCUGUUUGGUUGCCAUAGAGACGGGGCCGCCUGAACUAAUGAGUUUGUCGUGUGCAGUACACAUUUUCAAAUGCUCCAUUUCUCUUGUUACCUCUCUGCUUUUUUGUUUGUUUGUUUGUGUUUUUUGUUUUUUGGUUUUUUUUCAUCCCUAGGAGCACAUGAGUUUGGAAGUAAAGCCAUUCCAGGGUCCCAGGAAAGGGGGCUCACUGCAGGUUUUGCAGGGCUGCUGAGAGGUGCAGGAUGUGGUUUUAAAGAGAUUGUUACCCUGUUCUGUACACCACAGGCCAAGGGAUAACCGGGGGAUUGCUCAGGGCACCUUUUAGCCCAGGACUUUGUGGCACAGGCACCCAUUGCAUUCCUGCACAGACAGUUUCCAUUGCUGGGCCCAGGAUGGACGGGAUGUCUCACUGGGAGCCUCUGUUUGUGCACAGAACACUCACCGGGAGCAUUUCUCCUUGGAUGGACUGAAAAUAAACCACCACAAAUAGGUGGUUAUAGUUUGGAACAAUGAAUUCCCUUACACCCUCAAACAGGCUGCCCCUGCAUCCCUGGGAGUGUUUCAGGCCAGGCUGGACAAGGUUUGGAGCAACCUGGUCCAGUGGAAGGUGUCUCUGCCCAUAGCAGGGAGGAGAAUGGGAAGAGUUUUAAGGUUCUUUCCAAACCAUUCCACAAUUCCAACACCCUUCAAUGCUACCUGGGAGCUGUCAUUCAGGGAAAAUCACUCCAUGAAUCCAUGUGUACUCCUCCUGGGAAUUUGGACUUGGAUUCAGAUCUUUUCAUUCAGAGAUCACUGGAAAUCCUUGAGAGUUGAGGGUUUGGUUUUUGUUUGUUUUUUUUGUUUUGUUUUUGCGUGUGUGUUUGUGUCAGAACCUCCCCACUCACAGCACCAACCUGGAGUUCCCUUUAGAAAGGCCGAAAGAAUAGCAAAAUCCCAAAGCUCUGAACAAAUAUUUAUUUUUCAAAGCUUAAAUGCUUGGUGCCUGCCAAGCACUAAACUGAAAAGUUUGUUGCCAAAAUAUCCUUUUCCAAAAACCUUCUUUUAAAAGUUCCUCCUUGCAAAAGAAAGAAAAAGAGAGAGUCUUGCUCAAGCAAUUUUAGAGGAAUAGCUCUAAAAUAAGUGGCUUUCCCAGGAUCAAAGGCAGAGCCAUUUUGCUGAAGGUGAGAAUGGAGUGAACCAUGCAAGAGGACAAUUCUGGGUGCCAACAAUCUUGAAGUGUGCAUGUGCAGCUGGCUUUUGGUUUCCCACCUGAUCCUGCUGAAAUCAGUGAAAAACAGUGCUGGGUUAACAGUUGGACUCAAAGAUCUUCAAAGUCUUUUCCAACCUUAAUGAUUCUGUGACUCCUUUGAGCUGAGGAGAGCGCCAGGAUCUGUUUUAAUCCCCACUGGUUACUGCAGCCCUGGCUGGUGAGGGGGGAUGUGACACCCGUGGUCCAGGUGCCACAAGAAACUCCUGAUGCUGCCUCUCCCUCCCUGGGAUGUGAGCAAAUUUAUUUUGGACGCAGAGAGGAGAGGAAGACUGACUUGUCAGGAAACUUGGCUGGAGCUGUUUGAGCAAGGCUGACUGGAAAACAUCUGUGUGUGCACGGAGCAGAGACUGCACCCCUGCACUGCCAGGGUGGGCUGGCAGAAAAGCCCUUUUGCCUUUAUUUAUUUUACGUUUUUUUUUUUUAAGAAACAGAAAUACAAGACCUGAUUGGCAGCCUGGGAGGAGAAAUCUGAGGUACCUGAGGGCCUGGACUCAUGGGAGCAUCCCAAAACAAACACUCAGUCCCUCAAAAUGUUUAUUACCCCAACAAGUGCCAGUCCUUGUGAAGCUGGUUCAGAACAGAACUGCAGAGCAGGUGUUCAAAGGGUCAGGUGAGGAGAUCAGAAGUGACCUGCACUUAAAACCCCUCCCCUUUGUUAUGAAUGUAUAAAUAAAAUGAUGUAAACCCAAACUGCCCAGCCACGCCAAGACCUUUGCUUGGCAAAGCUUUUGCCUUACUUUUGAUGUUAGAUGAACAUCUAGCAAGAUUAAUUAAAGUUUAAUUAAUGUAAGUAGGGUAAAUGUGGUAGGUCAGCAGGCACAGCAGAUGUUAAAAUACUGUUGGCAAUAAUCAACCUGACCAAAAAAAAAAAAAAAAGGGGAAAAUUCCCUUCUUAAAAAAAUAAAUACCUCUAAGUGACUGGUUUAGACAUGUCAUCUCUCGAGGGUGGCUCUUUUUUUUUACUUUCUUUCCCCAGGCAAUACUGACCAACCAGUUGAGAGCAAAUCCUGUUUCUUCACAUCAGUGAAAAUUAAAAAAAAAUCUGUUUUGUCCUUUGCUGUGCUCUGGAAUUUUGCCCCAAACAUUUUCUGGAGUCUGGGCAUAUGCCACAGGGAGAUGUCUCACUGCUUUCUGCUCUUCUCUUCAGUUGAUAGCUACACAGUGAGAGCUGUGGUUGCACAGCCAGCUGAGUUUAUUAAAGAUCUGAUGAUAAUUUUUAAGGGCUUUCAGUGAGAUUCAGCAGUACAUCACCAGUCUGGCUGGCCACUAUUGCUUAGGAUGUCCUUGACAGCUAUGGGUGAUGUUUCCUGAACUUUGAAAUGAAAUUUGGAUGUGAUUUGGGUAUUUUGGCAUGCAGGUAUCUGUGUUUAUCUGUGGUAAUCCCUGCUUUUUGCCCUGUUGGGUGCUGGUGGGAGCACACUGGGCCAUCGAGCCCUGCGGAUGAGCCCUCGACCUGUUCUGGGAUGUGGUCCUGGAUCAGGAAUCCCACUCUGGCCACGAGGCUCUGGUAAGCCACAGCAUCUUGCAGUCAGCUCCAGCAAAGAUUUUCCAGCUUGUUUCUUAUUUUUAUCUGUCUCAAUUGGAUCAUCUCUAAAAAUAAUCUGCAAUGCAAGACACUGCAGUGCUGAAUUCCCCAGCGGAGCGAGGGGAAUGUGUCGAGAGGCUUCCUUGGAUCAAAGCCCCAGAGAGGGGCCAGAAGCAAGAGCCAGGCUAAAGUUCAGGAGUAUCCUUCAGAUCCAGAGAGUAGCAGCACAAAAAAAGCUGCUCUUCUCCUGAGGCUUUGUUGGAUAUUGGAAGAAGCUGCAGGGAAUGUGGAAUUCCCCUUGGGAUUGGAUAGUGGCUGGGAAAAUGGAGAGGAGCAGCAAGAAUUUAGGCCAAUGGUCUCAGACACAGCAGGCUCAGGCGGCUGCCCCCAGAAAUCAGUUUUCACUGUGUGUCAGACAAAAAUCCCAUUGCCCAGAGCCUGCUCCUAGAGCCUGCUGGAGCUUCCCUGUGGAGCCGCUGGCACUGAGCACUGAAAGCCUGGAAAAAUACACCAGCAAACUGCAAAUGAGGGUGAAUAUGUGUUUUUGGUUUGUUAGAGAAGUCUCAAAUGAAGGGAAAUCUCAGUUCUUGGAAACAGGGAAAGAAAGAUGCCGUUCUGGGCUUGGUGGAGGUCUUGUCCAAGUUUAGUGCUUCUAUGAUUGUAUGAAAUGGAUGGGGGACGGGCUCUAGGCUUUUCCAAAGUGUUCCUAAACCCAAGCACAAUGAGCUCCUCCUGCCAGCUGGAGCUACAGGCAGAUGUAUGCACUCACACAGCAGUUUCUGAGGAAUGCCGAUGGACAGGGAAUGGUGGGGAGCGAUGAGCUGACCUCUGGGGGGCUGCAAAGGCUUCAAAGCCAAAUGCAGAUGGGGAGAUGAAGCAGAGCCACGAAUGCAGUGGCUUCUGAAACAACAGGCCUGGCUCUCCCCUCGGGUCAGGGCUGCUGUGACUGCAGUGCAGGGCUCAGCAUGAGCUCCCCAGAGCCACAGCAGCCACUUCAUAGAGCAGGGCAUGGCACCUGGCCCUCCCUCAUCAGGACACUUCAGCAGACCUGGCUGGGACACUGGCCUCCAUUUCUUGCCCAGGCAUCACCACCUCUUUCCAUUUGGCUGCGGGAACAUUUAAGUAUUAUUAUUUUUAAACAGGGCAGUCUUGACAACAUAAACUGAUGCAUCCUUGUGGGCACAUGGGCAAGCUGAGGCAUUUUCUGUGAACACAGACUGCUGCUUUUUUAUCGCUGCUUAUUGUUGUCACCUGCCUCAAUCCCUGAUGGGGAGAGGGCUUUAUUUUUUUCCUUUUUGAAAAUGAGCUGUUUAGUCCUCUGGUUUCUAAGAUUAUAAGAAACUUUAAGCAAAGUUAAAGCUUUUAGGUAACAUUAAACAUUUGACUUUGAGCCAAGUAAACUUAGUUUUUUGAAAUCUAACUUAUGAAUACAAACUUUCAGUUUUGGAUUAGCCUAAACAAUUUUUUUCUUUUUUUCCAGGUGCUUUUUCUUCUUUCGCUUUGUAAAAAUGAAGGGGGAAAGCUCUGCCCUGGGGUAGUGCAGCUCCCUUUCCUGUUGUUCCAUCCUGUUGUUGGGAAGUGAGAGUGAAGGAUGAAGGAUGUCUGCAAGGACAGAACAAAAACCUGAGCCAGCCUGGUGGCAUGAAACCUGGAGGGAGGUGAGCAUCUGUGAUGGUGGGACAUCCAGGGAUGCAGAAUUCUGGGAUCUCUCCUCCUGUUUGGUGUCAUUGCCUGGAUGUGCUGCUGCUCUGGCUCUGCUGCGAUGCAUCUCAUCCUUUUUGGGACUGGGAACGUUCCACCUACAAAGCUUCUCCCAGGAGUCCUAGCAAACCUUUGAGCAGGCACUCAGCCCUCCCUCUCUGUGCUCAAGGGUUCCUGGAAGCCAGAACUGCUGGGGAGAGCUCGGGCAGGGCACUGUGAUCCUCCCACCCACGGAAUCAGGGCUGGUGAGUAGCAUCGAGGGCUGCGAUCUGUCAGAGGCACACCCUCUACUCGGAGCAAGAAAUGUCAAGGAGAAUUAGGGAGAUGACUGGAGGCUUGGGGUGCAAUGGGAAGCAACUGCUGUUCCUAGGCAGGUUGUGACUACUCAGCCUUGCUAGUCAGAUUUUGGGGGAUGCUCAGCUGGCUCUUGCUGUAGAGAGCUCGGCGUGCGUUUUGGUGACAGGGUCUGUCUUCCAGUGGGGAAGGAGAAUUCCCCUGAUUCAACGCCCAGAUAACUGGUUUUGUUGGUGGAAUGGGGGGAAAAGGCCAUUUGGGAAGCUGUGCAUCACCACUCUCUGCAGGUCAUUUGAAACACACAAGGCAAAGCUGAGUGCCCCCUGAGGGUGCCCAAACCCAGCCUUACCCCGGCAACCCUGCUGGCUGGGGGUGACCCUGAUGGGUCACCAAGCCGUGGGCACCUGGUCACUCUGAGCCUCAGCAUGUCAGUGCCAGCAGGAAACCCAACCACAUCCAGCACCAUCAUUCCAUCUUCAUCCAGCUGCCUUCAGCCCUGCCAUUCCCAAAGCACCUUUUUGAUCCCAAGAGGUGAUCAGGGAUCAGUCUUCGAGCUGAGGGAAGUGGGGAUCCUUCACACGAGGGAGGAUUUAAUUAGCAAAGGCACGUGUGAUUUUAUUUUUUUUUUUUCCACGUUUUGCUCCGUGGCAAUUCCAGCGAGGAAUAAAAGUUUACUUCCAUUCCCCAGUGCUGGGGAAAGCAGCUUCCGUCAGCACUGCCUGUGCUCUUGGCUGUGCUGGAUAUGGCAGCUCUAUUUUUAGAAGUCAGGGUUGCCAUGGCAACCCAGCGUAUUUUUUCUGUUAAAUAUAGCAGCUGUUGCAGGGAACUCUUGUCCUUCUGGAUGUAAAGGCUGUGUUUCUGCCCUCUGACAGAGCUCAGGGUAUUAGAGGCAGAUGAGAAAGGAUUAUUAAAUAAGUGGAAGCCCAGAAGAAACCGUGGAUCUGUAAUUACAUGGAGGGGUUUGGGAUGCAGCCGUGUGUGUCGGCAGCUUCUGCAUUGAAAAAUGUGUGGGAAUAGGGAUAGGGGAGCUUUUCCAUGUGGAGCUCCAUGAAAGCACCCUGCCCCUCUCUCUCCAGCUGCCCAGUCUGCCUGGCUUUGGCUAUUCUGGCCUCUUCCCCUUCCAGGAGCCAGUCUGGUCCCGGCUGUGCCCCCCAGGAUUUGUCUUGGCGGAGAUGGGGGGGGGUGCCAAACAGGCCUUGCCAACCAAGGGGAGGAAGGAGCCUUUUUUUGGGGGAAAAAAACAUUUUUAUUCCUACCUGCACCUCAGGAGCCUGAAGCAGAGGUGUGUGGUGCAGGGUUUGGGCCUGGAGCUGCCUCCAUCUCCUGCUGGUGAUGGACAUCUCAGUGGAAGCAGUGGGAGAGGUGCAGGUCCCAUCUCCUGUGGGGCCGGGCCAGGGAUGCGGUGUGGGAAUGCUGUGGGACUGUGUUGCAUCCUAAAGCAGUGACAUUCCCCAGCUUUGGGGUCCAGUGGCAAGAAAACUGACUCUGCUUCUUUAUUAUUUAAAUUUUAAAAAAAUGUACCGGGUCCCUGUAAGGUGUCAACACAUCUCAUCAAAGAGCUGGUUUCCAUCUCUAGGGAGGAGGGAGAAGGAGAGGGGUGGGGAGCACAAUUGCUCGGGCCAAGGGCAAUCUGUCAGCUGGGAGAUGGAGAUCUAUUUUUUAAUUAACUAGUCUUUGCCUCAUUAAAUGAAGAAAGAAACCAGAGCACAGCAGAUAUGAGCAUGGCUUACGUUCACUGAAAAUUUCCUUAAAAAGUUGAUGCAACAACAAACAAAGAACCAAA